CGGAACGUGCCCAGUAGCGGGGGAUAACUACGCGAAAGCGUAGCUAAUACCGCAUACGCCCUUAGGGGGAAAGCAGGGGAUCGUAAGACCUUGCACUAUUGGAGCGGCCGAUAUCGGAUUAGCUAGUUGGUGAGGUAAUGGCUCACCAAGGCCGCGAUCCGUAGCUGGUUUGAGAGGACGACCAGCCACACUGGGACUGAGACACGGCCCAGACUCCUACGGGAGGCAGCAGUGGGGAAUUUUGGACAAUGGGGGAAACCCUGAUCCAGCCAUCCCGCGUGUGCGAUGAAGGCCUUCGGGUUGUAAAGCACUUUUGGCAGGAAAGAAACGGCGCGUGCUAAUACCAUGCGCAACUGACGGUACCUGCAGAAUAAGCACCGGCUAACUACGUGCCAGCAGCCGCGGUAAUACGUAGGGUGCAAGCGUUAAUCGGAAUUACUGGGCGUAAAGCGUGCGCAGGCGGUUCGGAAAGAAAGAUGUGAAAUCCCAGGGCUCAACCUUGGAACUGCAUUUUUAACUACCGGACUAGAGUAUGUCAGAGGGAGGUGGAAUUCCACGU
rnacentral:rRNA from 1 species